rnacentral:tRNA from 1 species
GGGAUAGUGGCUCAGCGGUAGAGCGCUUCCUCACACGUGUAAGACACUGGGUUUGAACCUCAGCAUCACA